rnacentral:rRNA from 1 species
AGUGAACGCUGGCGGUAGGCCUAACACAUGCAAGUCGAACGGCAGCACAGUAAGAGCUUGCUCUUACGGGUGGCGAGUGGCGGACGGGUGAGGAAUACAUCGGAAUCUACUUUUUCGUGGGGGAUAACGUAGGGAAACUUACGCUAAUACCGCAUACGACCUACGGGUGAAAGCAGGGGAUCUUCGGACCUUGCGCGAUUGAAUGAGCCGAUGUCGGAUUAGCUAGUUGGCGGGGUAAAGGCCCACCAAGGCGACGAUCCGUAGCUGGUCUGAGAGGAUGAUCAGCCACACUGGAAGUGAGACACGGUCCAGACUCCUACGGGAGGCAGCAGUGUGGAAUAUUGGACAAUGGGCGCAAGCCUGAUCCAGCCAUACCGCGUGGGUGAAGAAGGCCUUCGGGUUGUAAAGCCCUUUUGUUGGGAAAGAAAAGCAGCAGGUUAAUACCCCGCUGUUCUGACGGUACCCAAAGAAUAAGCACCGGCUAACUUCGUG